CGCUGGCCCUAAAGAGCGCACAGAUGCUCUGUGUGGGGUCGGCUAGUCCUUCAGUAUUGCACUAACGUUUUUGUGAGGCACAAGGGACCUAAAAUGCUGGUGCUGUUGUGCAUUCUGUUUGGUGUAUUCAAAGCUGAACUGGACAGCCAGUCAGAAUGCACAGGAUGCUGACUGUUUUCACAAAUGGGAUGAUGUGGUGAGAAUAGUUACAAAGUUUUAAGGCAUAUUUUCAGAGAACACAAGAGACUCUUUGUGGUGCAAGGGAGAAUGAGGGAGAACAAAGGAGGACAAGUGCUUCAGAGAGAGGAGGAUCCCCACUGGAACAAACUUCUAAUUAACUAAACAUAAAAGAUUACUAGAUUGUCUACAACACUACAGUUGCCAUGGCCCAAGCCUUUGGGAUAGAAUGGGGUACCAACCAGCACAGUUACAGGAUAGGUACGAAGCUCUGUUGUACAUGGGUGAUUUGAAGAACACGAACAUGACCUAACUUCACAUAUACUGUCAGAUGUGCUACUGGUUCGAGUAAUGGACGGAGUCCACAGGAAGCAAACAGAAGUCUCAACAUCAUUCAUUUCAGUGGCUUCCUACAGAUAAGGCAACACAAUGAGCAUGCCAUUACAUUGUCUUUUGUUUCAGCUACGAGAAUGUAGGAGGUGGUUUGAAAGAUUUCUGAAUAAGAACUCAACUUCUGCACUCCAAAUAUUGACUGACAAAUGCAUUGGAAUGGAUUUUGACAUUGCAUAUGACACAGUAGCAGUACGGGGUGGAAUAAACUUUCCCAGAGACAUGAAAUUGCAGUUUUCAUGCUGAGAAAUUGAAGUAUCAUCACCACAGGCAUUAAAACAUUAAGGAAACACAUCUGUAACCCAAACAACUGCCUACGUAGAAGUCUACAAGUAGAAAGACUUAAAGGAACCGCUCUCAGUUGCUGCCUGCAGCCAGAGCAAAGAAUAGCACUCUCUUUCCCCCACCCUCCAUUCCCCAAAUAGAAGUAACAGAGGAAUCAUACGUGAGCUCCACGCUGAAGAUUAGAAUAAUGAACAUCAGGUAAUCUCUCCCCAUCAAGUUGGGAAAUAGCACUGUAUUAAUCCAGUCGCAAAGAUCACGGUAACAUCCAACAGCUGACUGGCAAAACUAUAUAUUGGAUGGAACCAUAAGACUUGGGAGAGAUAAUAUUUCUAAGACCACAAGUGUACAGACACGAGGCUUUACCUUGUCACAAAAGACUUUAAUCUGGCAGUAAGCUCUGUGGACAGGCUUGUUGCUCCUGUUGUUGUAGCUGUAGGUGUCAAUCUGAAGAUUCAGAGGAAGUCCUUUGACACCUUUCUGGGAAGAGAAGUCUGUACUGAGGCAGUUUACAGCAAUGAAGACCUGCAACCAAACCAAGCAACAGAUUUCCAUAAGAAGCAGCACUGAAGAACACUUUGUUGGGCAAGACAGACAGACCAUCAGUACUAAGCAAAUCAGAUAUCUUGCAGUCUCCUCUUUAUUGUCUUUGAUGGAUUUCAUCCCAAAGGGCCAACUUUGGUUAUGCCCUUUGUACGCUGACGACCAUGGUCCGCAAACACUAUGCUCAUGAUCCCUCUGCAAUGAAGCAAGGAGGUCCAGGUAUGGAAGGAGGGUUCCAUACAUUCAGCUACAUUCAAUUAGCUAUGUGUACCCAGGACUUAUUAAACUUAUUAAAGAGCCAGCGUGGUGUAGUGGUUAGAGUGCACUUUGUCUAGCCAAGAGAUAUAAAGGUUAAAUGUGACACUGUUAUUUCAAUAAAAUAUAUCAUUCAAUCUGC